AAGGCUUUAGCUUAGUUAAAGUGUCUGUUUUGCAUACAGGAGAUGUGGGCGAACAUCCCGCAAGUCUUA
rnacentral:tRNA from 1 species